AAGGAUCAUUACCGAGUCGAGGUGGCUGGCGCGCACCGCGUGCCGGCCACGUACCUCACCACCCGUGUCUACCGUACCCCGUUGCUUCGGCGGGCCCGCCGCCCAGCCGGCCGCCGGGGGACCCCUGUGUCUCCGGGCCAGCGCCCGCCGAAGACCCCCCGAACGCUGCCUGAAAGGUUGCUGUCUGAGCGGUUAUAAAACAAACAAAACUUUCAACAACGGAUCUCUUGGUUCCG
rnacentral:misc_RNA from 1 species